AUGACUCAAUGAAGGUGUAUAAAGGUUUAAAAUUAUGAGCUAGCUUUUACAUUAGAAUCUAGGUUAUCUCCUUAGUUCUAUGACCUCUGUAUAACAACAUUCCAUUAAGUCGUUUGAAGAUUUUAUUUUGUCAAGGAAACAUUAACAUUGAAGAAAAUGAGGCUGUUCCAAUUUCUUUGUCUUCUGGCAUUCCUUGCUUGUUUAGCAGUCAUUGAAGGCUUACCCUUAGCGAGUAGUCUAUGUCUACAGCCAGUCUUUUGCUUUGUUGAUCCUUGCAUGGUAGCAAAUUGUCCAGGCACUUGUGUUCAAACCUGUGCAUGUGGACAUACCUGUCUGUAAAACAAAGAGCAGUUGGUGACAUUUCUAAGCAACAGUUCAAAUGCCGAAUUGACUAAACAAAGCUUUAUUUCAUUGAAAAAAUAUUGUUCAAAUAUUUCUUUUUAGACUUUGUAAAA
rnacentral:sRNA from 1 species